rnacentral:snoRNA from 1 species
AAGCACCUGCCGUGGCCAGUGGCUGCUUCUGAGGUUUCCACUCCAGGUGCACAAAAAAAUACCCUCGCCCUUUCUCUCUGUCUGAUUGUGGCAGCCUAGAUUUCAUGGGGAAUACAGGA